GGUAACCUGACCGAGUGGUCUAAGGCGCCAGCUCCGGGUGCUGGUCCGUAAUGGGGCGUGAGUUCGAAUCUCACGGUUAUGA